rnacentral:lncRNA from 1 species
AAAAACUUGGACUAAUCAAAUACUCUCACCAAUUGGAAAAAUAACAGUGAUAAAAACACUUAUAAUAUCAAAAUUAAACCAUCUAUUCCUGUCCAUACCUAGUCCAAAUAGCACAAAGCUUAAACAUUUUACUGAAAAAAUAUUUUCCUUUAUUUGGGAUAAUAAACCAGAUAAAGUCAAUAGAGACACCUUAUCCAAACCGCACUGUUUAGGAGGACUAAAAAUGAUUAAUAUUGAAAACUACAUAAAAGGUCUUAAACUAACCUGGAUAAGAAGAAUAAAUAGAAAUAAUUCAAAACUAGUAAAAC